UGAUCGACGGAAGGACGCGAUGGUCUGGGCUGGAAAGUGGAAUUUGAUUGGCUGUGGGGCAGGGCCGCGGGGCUGAGGACGGGCACUGGGGAAGGACAAACUAGGUCAGGAUGGCGCUCCGCCAUAGCAACGGGAGUGUUGGGGCGUUGCUAAGGAGGCCGGAGGAGGCGGUGCGGGGAUGGCAGCGGCCAAUGUGGCCCCAGCAGAAACCAACUUAUCUCCCACCAUAGACGGCUUGGAAGAAAGUCUGCAGAAACUUAAAGUUCAAGUGGACAGCUUAGCCUCAAGUCUGAGUUUUGACAUGGAUCAAAAUGGUGGCACAGAUUCUGACACUGCAGGCAGCUCAACUACUUUUAGACCUGAAUGGCUACAAAUUUAUAAUGCAAGCUAUGUGGAGACAGGUCCUGGGAAUACACCUAAGCAGCUUGCAGAGUCAGAGUGGUUUCUAAAGCCUAGGCAUCUAGUCAAAUCUUUAGGUGAUUACCCAGCACUAACAAACUUAAGUCUUCCAGUGUUCUCUGCAUCUGCAGUCAGUCAUGUGGCUGGGCUGGGAAGUGAAACCAUAAGCAAAAAUGAUUUGCUGUUGGAGGAUCUGGUAAAUACCAACUCAUUUCCUGUAAAGCUUGGAGCUCCACAUGUUAUUGGAGUUAAGUCUGUCUUACACCCAAAAGUCCCAGUGAGAACUUGCUCUCAUGAGAGAGUCAGUUCUUUCUUAGACCAAGGUAGCUCUCUGUCUGUUGAAUGUGCAGGGAAUUACCGAUCCCGCUCAUUUUCUCCUGCUUCAAAAAAAAGCCGCUGGCUAAGGUCUCGCUCCCAGUCUCCCAAGUCCAUUUGGAGGCCAAAUUCUGCAAAGGCAAAUGCUUGUGCCCAGCCUCUGCCAAACUGUGGCAGAUUCAGGUGCAGCAGAAAGACAACAGCAUCAACCAGACAGUCGCGAUCUAGAACACACAAACUGGGGUCCCUGGCUGCCAGAUCCCAUACUCCAACUAUGAUGAAUGCAGGGGGAAUACUCAGUUCCUCAUGGAGCCCUUACAGUCUGCCAUCUGCUACUAUGUCCUCACCAGCAGCUCAGGACGUUAAUGAAAGGUGUGCGAUGAGAAGCUCCCAGUUCCAUUAUGAAGCCCACAAGAACAAUGAGUUGCUGAGAGGCAGCCAAGACUUGCAGUCUGCGUGUAACAACAGACCAGAACUGAAGUCAGCAUCCAAGAAACUCCAAGAGCAUUAGAAAGCCAUCCAGCUGGACUCUCUAACAACACAAAUUUUUGAGGGAGAUUUUAUUAACCUGUACUGGGAGAAGACACCAUCAGAGAUUUCAGCCUCAUAAUGCAGAAAGGCUCAUGCGCUAUGCUUUUUUUUCCCCCUCUCUCCUGAAAGCUUCAGAAAAAAUGCAGACUCAAUAAGCCAAAUAGGCCAAAUCUAGGCUUGAAGCACCCUUUAGAUUUUGAAAACAACAGGCCACCUUUGGCAACAAACUAGCAGACUAAUUUAUUCAUUUACCUUUCUGCUAAGGACAAGGAAAACAAAACAAAAAAAAUUUGUAUGCUUAUGCUUUAUACAGAGCUGUAUUUCGCUUUGUGAAAACUACUCCUAAUCAAAUUGCUUGUAAUGUGAAAAAAAAAACCAUAAAUAGGGACAAGAAGAAAGUUACCUAUAGUAGCUGUAUAGAGUCAGAAACAUACAUAAAGCUCAUGUAUAAAAUCCUGCAGCCUGAAAUAAGUUGUAGAAUGCAGCCUAGAUCAGCUCCAGUGUUCAAAAGCAGGCCAGUGGUAGUCAUUCAGGUAUCUUUUUCCUUGUAAACCUUCUUGGUUUCUCCAAAACAUUGACUUGACUAAGUCUCUGAAAAAGUGUCUGGCCCCCCCCAACCCACACACACUACUGCCUUGAAAGACUAGCGUAUCUGAGUUAUGGUUGUACUUUGACAUCACAGUAAAUCUGGGAUUACGCAGGGGAAGGCUGCAAGCUAGAUGCAUCUAUGAGCAAGUUUGUUCCAAGUGAAUACAACCUAGCAAAAUUCAGGAACUGAGAGAAAUAUGCUGACUGCUUCCUGCAGAAAACCAUUAGGUGUCUAGGUAAUAGAUGAGUUGGGUGGGAUAGCUUCAGUCCAGUUCCUGAUGGAUCAGGACCUACCUAGAAGGUGAUGUUCAGAAAACCCACAAUGUCUUGAUACAGGAAGGCAGAAGAAUCUUGCAUUGCCAAAGAACAUGGAAACUGACACACUAGAUCAUACUAGCAGUUUCAUAUAAUCAAUUCUUUAAUAUUUACUAUCUUUAACAUUAAUAUUUAAGACUGUCUUUCAUCUUUAACAUUAAUAUAAUUAAUUCUUUAAUAAUAACCCACACCACAUGCAUCAAAAAGGGGAAAGGACCACAUAGAAAACUUGGGAAUAGCUCACCCACAGAUGAAGCUCUUUAUAGUCCCCAUAGGCAGAAUUCAGCUCUUACUAGGAGCCCUGAUGGCUUGUGCUCUCAUCCUAUAAAGGUGUGUGGGUGUCACACCCACUAAUUCAGUGCAGAUGGGAUGC